rnacentral:rRNA from 1 species
GACGAACGCUGGCGGCGUGCUUAACACAUGCAAGUCGAACGGAAAGGCCCUGCUUUUGUGGGGUGCUCGAGUGGCGAACGGGUGAGUAACACGUGAGUAACCUGCCCUUGACUUUGGGAUAACUUCAGGAAACUGGGGCUAAUACCGGAUAGGAGCUCCUGCUGCAUGGUGGGGGUUGGAAAGUUUCGGCGGUUGGGGAUGGACUCGCGGCUUAUCAGCUUGUUGGUGGGGUAGUGGCUUACCAAGGCUUUGACGGGUAGCCGGCCUGAGAGGGUGACCGGCCACAUUGGGACUGAGAUACGGACCAGACUCCUACGGGAGGCAGCAGUGGGGAAUAUUGCACAAUGAGCGGAAGCCUGAUGAAGCAACGCCGCGUGCGGGAUGACGGCCUUCGGGUUGUAAACCGCUUUCGCCUGUGACGAAGCGUGAGUGACGGUAAUGGGUAAAGAAGCACCGGCUAACUACGUG